rnacentral:tRNA from 1 species
GGCGUGGUGGCGAAGUUGGUUAACGCGACGGUCUGCAAAACCGUUACUCGCGGGUUCGAUCCCCGCCCACGCCU